rnacentral:rRNA from 1 species
UACGUAGGGGGCAAGCGUUGUCCGGAUUUAUUGGGCGUAAAGAGCGUGUAGGCGGCCAGGCAGGUCUGCUGUGAAAACUCGAGGCUCAACCUCGAGACGUCGGCGGAAACCAUCUGGCUAGAGUCCGGAAGAGGAGAGUGGAAUUCCUGGUGUAGCGGUGAAAUGCGCAGAUAUCAGGAAGAACACCCGUGGCGAAGGCGGCUCUCUGGGACGGUACUGACGCUGAGACGCGAAAGCGUGGGGAGCGAACAGG